rnacentral:rRNA from 1 species
UACGGAGGGUGCAAGCGUUAAUCGGAAUUACUGGGCGUAAAGCGCACGCAGGCGGUUAAUUGAGUUAGAUGUGAAAUCCCCGGGCUUAACCUGGGAAUUGCAUCUGAGACUGGUUAGCUAGAGUCUUGUAGAGGGGGGUAGAAUUCCAUGUGUAGCGGUGAAAUGCGUAGAGAUAUGGAGGAACACCGGUGGCGAAGGCGGCCCUCUGGACUAUAACUGACGCUGAGGCGCGAAAGCGUGGGGAGCAAACAGG